CUCACUUGCUCAGAGUUAUAGAACCUUGGAGAUUAGAAAUAAUAGAUGAAACAACUUCUCCCUCUCAUAGGCACCCCUGGAAGACUCCCAGGAAAGCAGGAAUUACAGAAGGGAUCCACGCCUGGGAAAGGGGACAUUGAGACACAGAGAUGGAUCCACUGGAAGGACGCCAUGUGAAGAUGAAGGCAGAGAUCAGGAUGAUGCUUCUACAGGACAAGGAAUGCCCAGGAUUGCCAGUAAACCACCGGAAGCUAGUGGAGAAGCACGAAACAGAUUCUCCCCUCACAGUCCUCAGAGGGAACCAACCCUACCCACAAUCUUGGACUAUUACCUCCAGGAUUUAUUUAGUCUUCAGAUAACUGAAGAUGAUGACAAGUGACCCCAGGAACUUCUCUUCUGGAGAUUAUACCAGGCUCCAAACUGAGGUGGCUUUUGCAUCAGUUCAUACUAAUUAAGGAUCCAGUACAGAAAAGAAAACAAACGUCAACACGCCACACUCUGGAGAUUUGAAGUACUGAAGCUUCAGGACUCAGUAUUCAGUUCCCACCGGAGAACUGGCUGUAUCACAUUGCAGUGACUCAUCCAGUGUCUGCCUUCCGCCUAUGGUCUGGUCUUCUUGAGGGCAGGGAAAAACCUCUUCUUAACCAUCUCUGCAGGCUCAUAAAGUCUUGGGAGAAUUAUACUGACUCGAUCAUUGUGGGUUGAUGAACUCAGCAAGUAUUUGAGAAGAACAUCAACUCCUGAUUUCAUCAUGGAUGGUGUAGCCAGGAAGGUUGGAUUUGAAUGCUUGUCCUCAUGGAAGUGAGAUAAAAAAAAUAUGGAUAUCCUUGACUACAUGGACGACUUAAACACACGAUGGGAAUACAUUCAUACCCACCCAUCAUCUCCCUGGCAAGAUGAGUUCUCCAGAGUUGCGUUGGAUCGGAAGGCAACUUAGACAUAAACAGUGAAAGGAGUAAUUCCAAGGGCCUGCACACUUAAAAUAAAAUUCAUCUUUGUGGAUGUGA
rnacentral:lncRNA from 1 species